UACGGAGGGUGCAAGCGUUAUCCGGAUUCACUGGGUUUAAAGGGUGCGUAGGUGGGCAGGUAAGUCAGUGGUGAAAUCUCCGGGCUUAACCCGGAAACUGCCGUUGAUACUAUUUGUCUUGAAUAUUGUGGAGGUAAGCGGAAUAUGUCAUGUAGCGGUGAAAUGCUUAGAUAUGACAUAGAACACCAAUUGCGAAGGCAGCUUACUGCACAAUGAUUGACACUGAGGCACGAAAGCGUGGGGAUCAAACAGG
rnacentral:rRNA from 1 species